rnacentral:rRNA from 1 species
CAGCCGUAAACAAUGUGCGUUAGGUGUGUCGGUAACCACGCGUUACUGAUGCGCCGAAGAGAAAUCGUGAAACGCACCACCUGGGAAGUACGGUCGCAAGGCUGAAACUUAAAGGAAUUGGCGGGGGAGCACCACAACAGGUGGAGCCUGCGGUUUAAUUGGAUUCAACGCCGGAAAUCUCACCGGAUAGGACAGACAUAUGAUAGUCGGGCUGAAGACUCUACUUGAUGAUCUGAGAGGAGGUGCAUGGCGUCAGUG